AUUGAACGCUGGCGGCAGGCCUAACACAUGCAAGUCGAACGGUAACAGGAAGCAGCUUGCUGCUUUGCUGACGAGUGGCGGACGGGUGAGUAAUGUCUGGGAAACUGCCCGAUGGAGGGGGAUAACUACUGGAAACGGUAGCUAAUACCGCAUAACGUCGCAAGACCAAAGAGGGGGACCUUAGGGCCUCUUGCCAUCGGAUGUGCCCAGAUGGGAUUAGCUAGUAGGUGGGGUAACGGCUCACCUAGGCGACGAUCCCUAGCUGGUCUGAGAGGAUGACCAGCCACACUGGAAAUGAGACACGGUCCAGACCCCCACGGGAGGCAGCAGUGGGGAAUAUUGGACAAUGGGGGCAAGCCUGAUGCAGGCAUGGCGGGUGUAUGAAGAAGGCCUUCGGGUUGUAAAGUUCUUUCAGCGGGGAGGAAAGGAGUAAAGUUAAUACCUUUGCUCAUUGACGUUACCCGCAGAAGAAGCACCGGCUAACUCCGUG
rnacentral:rRNA from 1 species